UACGGGGGGAGCAAGCGUUGUUCGGAUUCAUUGGGCGUAAAGGGUGCGUAGGUGGCGGGGUAAGUCAGGUGUGAAAACUCGGGGCUUAACCCCGGGCCUGCAGUGGGUACGGGCAGACUAGAGUGCGGUAGGGGAGACUGGAAUUCCUGGUGUAGCGGUGAAAUGCGCAGAUAUCAGGAGGAACACCGGUGGCGAAGGCGGGUCUCUGGGCCGAAACUGACGCUGAGGAGCGAAAGCGUGGGGAGCAAACAGG
rnacentral:rRNA from 1 species